AUUGAACGCUGGCGGCAUGCCUUACACAUGCAAGUCGAACGGUAACGGGCCUUCGGGUGCCGACGAGUGGCGAACGGGUGAGUAAUACAUCGGAACGUGCCCGAUCGUGGGGGAUAACGAGGCGAAAGCUUUGCUGAUACCGCAUACGAUCUACGGAUGAAAGCAGGGGACCGCAAGGCCUUGCGCGGACGGAGCGGCCGAUGGCAGAUUAGGUAGUUGGUGGGAUAAAAGCUUACCAAGCCGACGAUCUGUAGCUGGUCUGAGAGGAUGAUCAGCCACACUGGGACUGAGACACGGCCCAGACUCCUACGGGAGGCAGCAGUGGGGAAUUUUGGACAAUGGGCGCAGGCCUGAUCCAGCCAUGCCGCGUGCAGGAUGAAGGCCUUCGGGUUGUAAACUGCUUUUGUACGGAACGAAAAGCCUUCUUUUAAUACAGGAGGGUCAUGACGGUACCGUAAGAAUAAGCACCGGCUAACUACGUG
rnacentral:rRNA from 1 species